CAAUGGGCGCAAGCCUGAUCCAGCCAUGCCGCGUGCAGGAUGAAGGCCCUCGGGUUGUAAACUGCUUUUGUACGGACCGAAAAGCCUCUUUCUAAUAAAGAGGGGUGAUGACGGUACCGUAAGAAUAAGCACCGGCUAACUACGUGCCAGCCGCCGCGGUAAUACGUAGGGUGCGAGCGUUAAUCGGAAUUACUGGGCGUAAAGCGUGCGCAGGCGGUCUUGCAAGACAGUGGUGAAAUCCCCGGGCUCAACCUGGGAACUGCCUUUGUAACUGCAAAGCUGGAUUUCGGCAGAGGGGGGUGGAAUUCCGCGUGUAGCAGUGAAAUGCGUAGGUAUCCGGAGUAACACCGAUGGCGAAGGCAAUCCCCUGGGCCUGCACUGACGCUCAUGCACGAAAGCGUGGGGAGCAAACA
rnacentral:rRNA from 1 species